GAGAAACAGUGUCAGAAACAGAUUAUGAGGUCAGUUGAUUUGAUAACUACGCUCACAAAGUUAAGUGGUUUGGGCCAACAAAUCAAUUAUGUGGCAUAUACCUAUCCAGUCAAAAAAGUUGAUUUUAGCAAACUCAAAUUGUGAAGAGAGCAUCUGAUGCUUAUCAGAGAAGUACCAGGUCCUUGAUUUUUCAACAAUUUUUACUGGAGAUUUUUGUUAGGCCUACACUUACAGCUAGCCCAAAGAAACUGGAUAAUAUAUGUAAUAAAGUAAUUGUCUAUGUGUUAUAUUGGGUGACAUGGAGCUCAUGUAGCCGCAAAGCAUCCACACGUGGAAUAACCCGCUGUGAUAUGGAUGAAGUUAAUCAAAAUCCUUAUAAACUCAUAGAUAAUGUCUAUUUUUUCUCCCGUGAGUUUCAUAUUCUCAAUAAUAUGCAUGAUGU
rnacentral:lncRNA from 1 species